AAAAUACGUUUCUAACGUAGAGGCCUUGGUUUCCUCCAUAAAACCUUCUUCUUAUUAUUUUCUUUUCUUUCAUUAAACCCAGCAUAGGUUCAAGGGGUAGAAAGCAGUUUGUACCACAUUAUCUGUGUACAAAUGCUAUUAUCUUUUGUCUUUUUGUGGCCUUCAUUUAUUAAUUAUUUUACUUCUUCAUGUAUUUGGACAAUCUAAGUAUGUUUAGAGAGGCUAAUUUGCUUUCCUUAUUUGUUCUUUUCCCUCUUUAAUUGUAUUUCAGAUUAUAAAAUUUUCAUCUCCAAUAUCUCUGUGGGAUCUGAUUGCAUUAUCCUGGUUGUAAUUGGAUUGAACAAUGGUUUAUGAAAAUUUGAAACUAGAUAAUGUAUACAUUUGUUGGCAGAGAGUUGUUGUUACUUAUUGUAUUGUAUAUUGGUGUCCAUAUUGUAG
rnacentral:lncRNA from 1 species